ACGGAAGGCAGCAGUGGGGGAUAUUGCACAAUGGGGGAAACCCUGAUGCAGCGACGCCGCGUGAGUGAAGAAGUAUUUCGGUAUGUAAAGCUCUAUCAGCAGGGAAGAAAAUGACGGUACCUGACUAAGAAGCUCCGGCUAAAUACGUGCCAGCAGCCGCGGUAAUACGUAUGGAGCAAGCGUUAUCCGGAAUUACUGGGUGUAAAGGGAGUGUAGGCGGGACUGUAAGUCAGAUGUGAAAUAUACCAGCUCAACUGGUAGACUGCAUUUGAAACUGCGGUUCUUGAGUGAAGUAGAGGUAAGCGGAAUUCCUAGUGUAGCGGUGAAAUGCGUAGAUAUUAGGAGGAACAUCAGUGGCGAAGGCGGCUUACUGGGCUUUAACUGACGCUGAGGCUCGAAAGCGUGGGGAGCAAACAGGAUUAGAUACCCUGGUA
rnacentral:rRNA from 1 species